UACGAGGGGUCCUAGCGUUGUUCGGAAUUAUUGGGCGUAAAGAGUAUGUAGGCGGCCUUACAAGUCAGUUGUGAAAGCCCCGGGCUCAACCUGGGAAGUGCUUCUGAUACUGUUUGGCUUGAGUACUGGAGAGGAUAGUAGAAUUCCAGGUGUAGUGGUGAAAUACGUAGAUAUCGGGAGGAACACCGAUGGCGAAGGCAGCUCGCUGGGACGGUACUGACGCUGAGGCGCGAAAGCGUGGGGAGCGAACAGG
rnacentral:rRNA from 1 species